UUGUAUGAACAUUUAGCUAGUUUUGCUUCGUGAUAGCAUCUGACAUUCUGGGCAGAACAUUUGAUGCAGAUGCACAAAUAAUUCUAGCUCGCGAAGGAAAUAUUGAUUUAUCAUUUUUCCAAAGGUACUAUUAUAAUGCCAUGUGGUCUAGCUACUAUUUGAGAUUUUUUAUUUUGAGGUUCCUCAUUUCUUUAAGGUGAAUGCUUGAUGUGUUCUUUCUUGAAGAAAUGAACUAAGAUCCUUCAUCAUCCCUUAUUAUAUCAGUGCUUUAUUAUAAUGUUCUAUCAUCCCUCAUCAUCAUAGUAUUAAACAAGAGCUGUCAUUGGGUGCAUUUUUCUAUUAAUUACUUGCUAUAUCAUCCUCAUCUACUCAGUGUUUUUCUAAUUAAAGUUUAUUAUGUUUCAGCAUUAAGUUUGUCAUUUUGUUCUCACUUUUCUUGAGCAGGUCAUUACAGGGGUGGAAGUCUAAAAUAGUGGAGGUCUAAUCGUUGCUUGGCUAUUGCAACCAGUGGAGGUCUAAACCAGCAAAGGACCGGGGUGGAAGUCUAAAAUAGUGGAGGUCUAAUCAUUCUUUCACUUAUUAAUUGAUUUUUUUCUAUGGGAGUAUCAUGAUGCUCUACAUUGUGAUUCUUGGUUGGCUCUUUGUAUGAUUUUGUGGCAGGUUUGUGGUGGAUUAAAUGAGUCGUACGUUGAGCUGGAGAUACUUGUGAAUUCACAAGAAAAUUGUACCAGAUGGCUAGCUAGUUGCAUAUUUAAUAUGUUUAAUAUUUUUGUAAGGCAUAAUAGUAUAGAUAGAGCAGUUGUUGAAUUUUGACUAUAUUCAAAUCUUGUAUGAAUUCUUUUUUAUGAUAAUAAUAUAAAAUUAAAUAUUUUGGAUGAUA
rnacentral:lncRNA from 1 species